CCUACGGGUGGCAGCAGUGGGGGAUAUUGCACAAUGGGGGGAACCCUGAUGCAGCGACGCCGCGUGGGUGAAGGAGCGUUUCGGCGCGUAAAGCCCUAUCGGCAGGGAAGAAAGAGGACGGUACCUGGGGAGGACGCUCCGGCUAACUACGUGCCAGCAGCCGCGGUAAUACGUAGGGAGCGAGCGUUGUCCGGAAUUACUGGGUGUAAAGGGAGCGUAGGCGGGGAGGCAAGUUGGUGGUAAAAACUACCGGCUCAACUGGUAGUCGCACUCAAAACUGCAGCUCUUGAGUGAAGUAGAGGCAGGCGGAAUUCCGAGUGUAGCGGUGAAAUGCGUAGAUAUUAGGAGGAACACCAGUGGCGAAGGCGGCCUGCUGGGCUUUGACUGACGCUGAGGCUCGAAAGUGUGGGGAGCAAACAGGAUUAGAUACCCCUGUAGUC
rnacentral:rRNA from 1 species